UGGAGGGGGAGGAGCCUGGGAUGCCCAGGGCUGAUCCAAGGGCGGAGGUGGAGCCGGGGGAGGCUCCUCGCCAGAACACGGCACUGGGCGGCCGCCCACGGGGCGUUGUGAGGGGCACCCUGGGGCCAACAGAUGGUUCCCACCAGGGGAGGCUGGAGCGGACAGGGGUCAGUCCCGUUGCCGCUGAGCCUUGCACUCGGGGUCUGAGUUGUGCUCAGACCCACGAGGGCGUCUGGCUCUGCCUCACCGGCCCCUCUCUGGCUGUCUCCCUUUGCCAUCUGCCUGUGGACCCAUCUACUCUAGAGCCACCUGGGAUUGUGCCAUUGUGGUGACGGGCCUCAGUGACCAGCCACUCCCGGAGCACCUGCUGUCCUCGGAUGCAGUUUCAAUUCCCCCUGGUUCUAGCAGGACCUGGGGCACAUGCAGGGCGGACAAAACACUUUUUCCUGCACCUCCCUCCGCACAAGUUACAAGCCCCGUGCCUGCCAGUGGUUCAGGCCCAGAGGUCUUCGUCAUCCCCAGCUGGGCAGGGGCCCAGGCCAGGCUCAGUGACAGAUGCCUGCCUGCUGCUGGGAAGGACAUGGCUUCCUCAGUGCCCCCAGGAUGUCAGCUCAACUCUCUGGAUCUUCACUUUGCCCCAAGGGCGUGGUGGUGGAAAUGUGUCCAGUCCUGAGAGGGGGAGCCCAGCCCUGAGAGGGGUGCUCUGAUCCCAGGAAGCAGUGUCCGGCCCAGAGAAAAGGAUCCAGAAGCAUCCAGGGCCACACCCUGCACGUCGCUUGGCUGAGGGCCCCUCCUUGUGUCCUCAGAGCUGGAGGGGUGGUGUCCUCUCUCUCCUGUAAGGAUGUUGUGAUGACAUUUAGGGCUUUGAUAAUAAUCCAGGAGAGCCUCCCCAUCUCGUGACCUUAACUAAAUUCAUCUGCACAGA